rnacentral:rRNA from 1 species
GACGAACCGUGCGAACGUUAUUCGGAAUCACUGGGCUUAAAGCGCGUGUAGGCGGAUGGGAACGUCGGUCGUUGAAAUCCCCCGGCUCAACCGGGGAAUGGGCGCCGAAACGACCCGUCUGGAGGGACGUAGGGGGACCUGGAACUUCCGGUGGAGCGGUGAAAUGCGUUGAGAUCGGAAGGAACGCCCGUGGCGAAAGCGGCGCGCUGGAUCUCUUCUGACGCUGAGGCGCGAAAGCCAGGGGAGCGAACGGG